GACGAACGCUGGCGGCGUGCCUAACACAUGCAAGUCGAACGGAACUCAUUGGAAUGAGACUUCGGUCGAAUGAUAGUGAGUUUAGUGGCGGACGGGUGAGUAACGCGUGAGCAACCUGCCUUUCAGAGGGGGACAACAGUUGGAAACGACUGCUAAUACCGCAUGAUGUAUUUCGAGGGCAUCCUUGAAAUACCAAAGAUUUUAUCGCUGAAAGGUGGGCUCGCGUCUGAUUAGUUAGUUGGUGGGGUAACGGCCUACCAAGACUACGAUCAGUAGCCGGACUGAGAGGUUGAACGGCCACAUUGGGACUGAGAUACGGCCCAGACUCCUACGGGAGGCAGCAGUGGGGAAUAUUGGGGCAAUGGGGGGCAACCCUGACCCAGCAACGCCGCGUGAAGGAAGAAGGCUUUCGGGUUGUAAACUCUUUGACGAGGGACGAAUAAAUGACGGUACCUCGAAAACAAGCCACGGCUAACUACGUG
rnacentral:rRNA from 1 species